rnacentral:tRNA from 1 species
AGUCUUGUAGUGUAUAACACGUAAAAUUGCAAAUUUUAAAAUGAAAUUAAUUCUCUCCAGGGCUU